rnacentral:lncRNA from 1 species
UCCUCCUUCCGAUACUUCCCCCGGAAGCCUCUGCAAAGCCCAGUUUCCAGAACACCGGCACUGUCCCACGUAAGGCUCACCAUGCAGAGUGGAUGGAUACAGAGAGCUUCCUUCCGUCUUAUAGAUUGUGCACCUGUUUAGCGCGGCCCCAAGACUAGGGCUGUGCAUGUCACACACACGAAGACACUGGUGGACUGGGCUUUCUGAGCAGGUAGGUAGUGGGCGCCUUGUCUCUCAGGGAAAGCAAGCCAGGUUCUGCAACCAUUUGCCUAAGGCUUACAAAGAAGACUGGAACGCCGGCAGUUCUCCAAGGUCUCCUCCAGCCAUACGUUCUCGUGAUUUGGUAGUGCUCAUUCCCAUUAGCCCAGACACAGACAUUCUCCGGUAGCCGUGUAGGGGGAAAAAUUCACGGACUCUGAGGAGUUUCUCCCAGGCCCUCCCUCCCUAGCCGACCUCCCUUCUUCACCUCCUCCUCUUCCUGGGAGGCUGAGAAAGUCACAGCUUCAGCUGCAGCACUGUCCCAGCACCAAAGUCAUCAAAGCCACUGAGACAGUGGCCACCCUUUUGAAGAAGGAUAUUGGCACGAAUGCAGGAGUUUGAGCCUCAAGAGCCGUGAGGACAAGGGCAAGAGCUGUGAGCGUUAAAGCAGAGGAAAGGGGUUGCACUCUUUAAGGAUAGAUAAAUUGUGAUUUCCUGGGAUGCAUCUCAGUGCACGGAGAGAGAUGUGGGUCACUUUUCGAUAGGAAGGGACCUGAGGUCUUGACUAAAUAGUUGCCUUGACCACGGGAGCUUCCAGGCUUCACAAGAAUGUAGCAGGAGGGGUGUGGUCGAAAGAACAGAAAGUGAGGAACUCUCUGUCCCUAAGCCUCCAAGCCUGUGUACCCAGACUUCUUGUCUGAGACUUCAGCGUCUUCUUUCUUCCAUCACCUAAACAGCUGCCACCUUUCCUCACCCCCAAAACCCUGCAGAGCUUUGAACUCUGAGAGCCCCUUUCAUCCGAGCCUAUUCAAAGUGCUUUUACUGAGACCAAUUAAUGCCCAGCUGUGACCCAAGUCACACGCAGGGGUACUGAAGCUUUCAGGAGCACCAAAGGACAUCCUGGCAUCCCACUGAGUCAGGGACUAUGUGGCUAGGCCACCAGAGCUGGCAGCACCCAGCUGGAGCAGUUGCAAAGGUUCAGAGACUGCCCCACCCCCACCCAUCCCCCAAGCCACUGCAGAGCCUGGCAACAGGCUCACAUGGGCAGGUAGGGCAUGGAGCCCAGGCAGGAGCUGGGGCAUAUAUGCCUGAGACACAGCUGCUUGCAGAUCUGACUGUGUGUUCUACCCGAGUACCCAACCACUGGGUUUCCUAAGGCUGGACCAAUCCAGUCUGAUGCAUUCCAGAGGCAUAAGACAGGCUGUGAGAUCCUUGGGUGCUAAUCUGUACCUUUCUAUAUAAGACAAUAUAAAUGCAGUAAAUAAAAAGAGUCUGAGCCUGA